GAAUCUUCUUUAGAAUGCAAAUCAGUCGAAGGUGAACGUACGAGGACGGCUUCUUUUCAGACCUGUGCUUACGGUUAGUCCGGUAAGUGCCACGAAAAUAAACGGAACGAUGAUAAUUGAUCGGAGCCACUUUGUAUUCAUAGGGGAAUAUCGUAACUCGUCGGUGAAACGAGACAGUGUAUAGGAUAUACCUCGUGAAAUCGUGUGUCCCGGACGUCUAUAAACACCUUACAGAUAAAAUUUAGAAAAGUUUGAGGAUAUCGUUUGAAAAUAGAUAUUAUUAACAUAUAGAAGAUGAAAUUCGAAGGUGGAACACGACGAAGAAGACAUAUUCACUUGUCCUAUUAUGCGGAUAUAUAUAUAUACAUAUGUACGUACGUAUCUAUAGCAGGAUAGGGAUCGAUUUGAAUGAAUCGUAUAAAGGAUAUGGAAAGGAUAAAUAUAGGAAGGAAAGUAAUAGACGAAAAAGGAAUUUCCAAGAAUCAGAAAGAUGGAAAAGGGAGCGAGGAAGUAAGCGCGGCAUGGUAAGAAGAGGAACACGAGUGGCGUCGAUAUAAAGUCGCCCAGGAGGACAGAAAUACAAUCCCUAGAAGAGAGCUUCUCUUUGGUCGUAGGUAUAUUGGAGAGCUCGGAAUAGGCAAGGUAUCCAACUAGUAACCCACACUUUAGUAUUCUCGCGGUGUCGUUCCGUGGUGGUGUUGUCCCGUGGUGUGCCGUACCGCGGUGUGUCGUACGAGGAGACUUCCUCAUUCCAGAAUCGAGCUAUUGUGAAGUCUCCUCCCACCCCAGCUCACCCCUACCUCAUCAUAUGCCCACCUUCCACUUCUUACUCUUCUCUUACUUCGCGAGGCCCAACCGCAUUACUCGAACGAUGCUUAUUUACUUACUUGGUUCGUUCCUUUCGCGGAAAACCAUACUCUUCCCAAAGCAAUUUUCUUUACUCCCAACGUGUAUUCUCUAUCCCUUGUGUAUCUUAUGGUUUAAAUCCGAGACCUCCAUUAUUCUUGGUGCGACUUCACGCAGCUUUUCGGAGAAACGAACGUUUGAAAUUACCACAGGAGUGUUUCUAACUUUUUGCCAUAUCCUAUGAUUUUGCUCGGUCUUAUCGGAUAUAAGUAUUAAAGAUCGUAGAACCUCGCCUUGGACUAUCUCCAGCAAUAGCGAACAUUCCUAACGUUUGACGUUGCUUCUAAUAGUAAACACAGAACCUGGCAAAGUUUGAUAGAGAGAGAGAGAGAGAGAGAGAGAGA